UACGUAGGUGGCAAGCGUUAUCCGGAUUUAUUGGGCGUAAAGCGAGCGCAGGCGGUUGCUUAGGUCUGAUGUGAAAGCCUUCGGCUUAACCGAAGAAGUGCAUCGGAAACCGGGCGACUUGAGUGCAGAAGAGGAUAGUGGAACUCCAUGUGUAGCGGUGGAAUGCGUAGAUAUAUGGAAGAACACCAGUGGCGAAGGCGGCUGUCUGGUCUGCAACUGACGCUGAGGCUCGAAAGCAUGGGUAGCGAACAGG
rnacentral:rRNA from 1 species